CGCUAAAGGCAAACCCAUCGCAAGGUGGGGACGCAAAGCCACGGGCCCGUUCCCUUCGGGCAGCCGGGCUGCCG
rnacentral:ncRNA from 1 species